AUAUGAAAAAUACUUAUCAUUCAGAACUGUGAAAAAGAUAACAAAGAAUUGCAUGCAAUUACUCACAGCUAGGUUUCUUUCAAUAUGAGGCUGCAAGUGAUGAACAAAACAAAACAAAAGGAAAACAGGGAGAAAUACAUGGACACGAAGAAAGAAGUAGUUUGAGAAAUGUCAUUCUGUAUUCCUAACCAAAGAGUGUCAGUAGCAUGAAAUACUCCUGUCCCUUAAGUGAUGCAAACAUUAUAUGCCAACUGAAGUUUUCUUUGUUGUCACGUUAAAAUUUAAACUGAUGAGCAACAAAUAUCAGAGAAAUGCAUAGAUGUAACUUACAGAAAAAUGAGGUUGCUUCAAAUAUUUCAUCAUUCUUCCUCACUUCAGUUUUAUCCUUUUAUUAAUUUUUAUUUAUUUUAUUUUAUAAUGAUUGAGAAAGGGAAAGGGGAAAUAUAGCAUAUGAAGAAAGAAGCAUAAAUUCCUUCACCCAGGGUAGAAGAAUUUACAAAUUAUUUCACUGAUAUCUGUAUUUCCAACCUUCCUUUUUACCUUUUAAAUCAUAAAACCUUCUUUUUCCCAGUUGACAAUGCUAUUUUAAGAGAUCCGGACACAAAUCUAUUUUUGCAAGUGGAGAAUUGUCACAGGAGCAAGAUCUUUUAACUUGUUCUCACUUUUCUCUCCUUUCCUUGUUCUCUGUCAUCAAAUCUUCUCCUCAUAAAAAUGUUCAAAGACAAAAAUAUUAUUGAAUUCUACAAGAAAAUCUAAAAUAUUUCUAUAUCUGCUUACACGUCACCAUAGUGUAAUCCACUGAACUUCCAAAACCCUAAUGGCAACAAUUAUUCCAUGUAAAGGGUGAUAAUUCUACAGUGUUAACAGCAAUAUAUGUCAAAGCAAAUAAUUUUCAGAUGAUUGAAAUUGCCUGGACAUUUCGGAAUGAACCUAACAGAAUUGUUCAACACCUCAUUAGGUACACCUGGGGCAGAACAUAGCUACAGAAGCUAGUUUAAAGGGUCUUUAUAUAGGUUCCCGAGUAUGGUCUCCCUGUGGCUCUAUUCUUGAAGCCAGUUGACUUGUUCGCCCUCUGCGAACAUUCUUCAUGAGCACCUGAUCCCCCAAUUAAGCUUUCCACCUGCAGAGGCCAAGCUUCCAUCCCGCUCAAUUUCUCUCCCCAACCCUCUCCACAGCUGACAGUGUAUUCUGUGACCAGAGAAUGAACACAGCAGAUUCCAUCAAGAAUCUGAAUUUUGUGAGAAGCCCAGUAUUCUUGAGGUUACCAGGGCAACCUCUGAGGCUUGGAUGAAGGUGUUAGCAAUGUGUCACCAGGAGUGUUUCAUCUGAAUCAUCGCCUGUUGGACAGUCCUUUGUGGAUCAUAAUCCUCUCUGAUGCGGCUAUCAGCCAAAAUGGUGCUGUCAACAUUUAUGUCAACGCCGAGUGCUCAUCAUCUUUGUCAUUGUGCCUACCCUCCUGAACUCCACCUGGGAUCAUCAUCAGCAAAGCAACUGCAAAACUGGCUUUUCUCACACAGCCUUAUACAAGCAGUAAACAGUGGAUCUCAGGGGAUAACUCUGUGUCAUAUAAUUUACUGCCCAAUUUUGCUAACCCAUGAGGUUUAGCUGCUAGUCUUUUUCAGAGCUUCAAAUAAGCUUACAAGUUUGGGGCUAUUUAUCUAUAAUAAACUUUUAAAUAUUCAGCAUGAAAAAA